rnacentral:rRNA from 1 species
CCUACGGGUGGCUGCAGUGAGGAAUAUUGGUCAAUGGGCGCGAGCCUGAACCAGCCAAGUAGCGUGAAGGAUGACUGCCCUACGGGUUGUAAACUUCUUUUAUAAAGGAAUAAAGUGAGGCACGUGUGCCUUUUUGUAUGUACUUUAUGAAUAAGGAUCGGCUAACUCCGUGCCAGCAGCCGCGGUGAUACGGAGGAGCCGAGCGUUAUCCGGAUUGGUUGGGUUUAAAGGGAGCGUAGAUGGGUUGUUAAGUCAGUUGUGAAGGUUUGCGGCUCAACCGGAAAAUUGCAUUUGAUACUGGCAGCCUUGAGUACAGUUGAGGUAGGCGGAAUUCGUGGUGUAGCGGUGAAAUGCUUAGAUAUCACGAAGAACUCCGAUUGCGAAGGCAGCUUACUAAACUGCAACUGACAUUGAUGCUCGAAAGUGUGGGUAUCAAACAGGAUUAGAUACCCCGGUAGUC